rnacentral:tRNA from 1 species
GCCUUCGUGGUGUAGUGGUCAGCACGCUCGUCCCGUCUUGGAGAGAUCCGUGGUUCGAGUCCGGGCGAGGGCA